UUUACUCUUUACUGAACCAAACUCUGAUGAGUUUCUUUAUUUGCAUUCUGAUAUCCAAGUGUUGUUUUCCUCUUUAGUCUCCAUUCCUUUGUCUCACUUUUCAUUCCUCUCUGGUUAGAGCAGCUUUAACUCAGCAAUCAAAUCAGGCUCUGAGGUGCAACAAAGUGGUUGCCAAGAAUCCAGAGCUUUCAGAGCAUGAAUAGAAGACUAAUGUAAAGAGCUGCUCUUCUUUUGUGUCAGGAUUGCUGCUCUCAUAAGAAUGUUCUGUCUUGAUGGGGAAAAAGGACUUCGAGGAGCAGUGAAGCAACCUUUGAAAGCUGGUUCACUUGGACAGCUGGCAAUAAAAGGCUGUGUGUCAAUAAGCAUUAUAGACCUGAUAAGAGCCUGUGACUUGAACUAUAUGCAAAAGUGAAAUGAACUUGCGUUCCUACUGAUCGUGACGUGCAAGGAGCAGUCACAGCUGAGGAAGGAAGUCCAGCUCAGCCCAAAAGAUCAAUGAAAGGGAUGGAGAGGCAAUUCCCUUUUCUUUUGUGUCUGUUGGUGUCUUUUUUCAAUACAAGUGAUGAAUGUGAAAGCAAUAAAGACUGAGACGAUAAAAAGCUGGGAUUUGAGAGAAAGAGAUACUUCCCAUUAGGACAUUAAACCCUUAAACCCAUGAAUGCACUGUCUGUGAAACUGCUGGAAGCAAAGAGAAGCAAAGAAUGGAGUAGAAGAAAACAAUGGUCCAAAGGACUGAAGACUUUUCCACAUUAGUGGAAACUUCACUGCAGUCAAAAGAACUUCGGAAUGAAUUCUUCCUGAAUGACUAAUCAUAGUUGUUCAUUUCAUUAGACUCCAAGAGGAAGCAAAAAUGUCAAGAGAUGCUAAUGAGGCAACUUCACUUUGCACUGUGACGCUGGCAGAGCGUGGGCCAGCACCAGCGAGGGGAUUGACCAGAGCAGGGUCUGGGUGCCAGCACACAGCUACCUUCCCCAGGGCCAAGUCAUCAUUACCAAAACUAUGAAAUCCCAGAGUGGAUCUUCCUGCUGAAUAAUGAAACAAUGACUGAAGAGAACUGCAAGCACCAUCACAGAGAUGUCACUCCAGCAAUUAGGCAUUGUGAAAACUGCUCUGGUCUUUGAUCCUGUUCUGGGAAACUCACAUGUGACCCAGGGACUGUGCCUAAUGCUGGAAUUACUGACAUCUGUACAUCAUUUCAGUGGCAAAUUACAGCUGGGACAUGCUAACCCCAAAGUAAAAUAAAGAUCCCAGACACCAUCAAAGCUGUUAAAGGUCUCCAGGAAUAUCUCUAUUUCAGUCUCAGAUGUGAUGAUAUCUAAGCACUGGCUGGGAACCACUGCUCUCAUCAGUACAUACCAUCAGACCCUGGAAUAAAUCUGUGACCAGAGUUCAGCUUGGGUGGUGAAGCUGAAGCUACAGAGAUAAGAAACUGCCUGAAAUGUCUCCAUGUACCUGCACUAUGGUCAUGGAAAGUAUGGAAAUUGUGGAAGUAGUGGAUUCCCAGCCUGUCAGAACAUUUGCUGCAUUCUCCUUGUGCUGAUCUUAUGUAUCUUAGCCCAGUAUUAAAUCUGACUGCCUGCAAAAUAAAACUCUAGAUUUAUUUUCUGUUGUACAUACAAAAUGCUCAAGUGGUUGAGUAGACUACAUUUCAUCCAGAUUUAACAUAAAGUUAUUAUCAUUAAAUAAUCAUUAAAUGCUGCUGUGAAUGAGAUUUAUACAGCAGUGAUAAACUUACAAUCCCCAUCAGGUUCUCUACACACUUUACAAACCCCAACUCUAAAGGCAGAAAAUAUAAAUGAAAACAUAAGCUACAAAAAUCACAGUACCAUGCAGUUAUGCUUUAUUCUGCAUUUAACUGCCUUGCAAGAGUUUUGAAAACCAGCAAAUGGUCGGACACUGCCUAUAACUUUAUCAGAAAAUUGCUUUUCUAUCAUGACAAAAGAAAACCCACCUAUUCUCCACUAGUAACAUGAGAAUAUUAAUAUUAUUUAAUAAAACCA